GGACCUUUUGACGGAAAAGCCAGGAUGGGGAUGGUGAAUUCUCAUAGCAUGGAGUAGUGGACAGUGGGGGUAGCGGUGUCUGGGGUUGAGAAGACCGUGGAGAGAUACACAGAAGUGUCUCCAGCUUCCAGAACAUUCUAUAUCACUAGAGGUGCUCAGGCAAUGUGUCCAUCGAAUCUGGACUUCAGCCACCCUAUGGUACCCUUUACACCAUUCAUCUACCUAAAAGAUCUGUGUGUGUUCUUGGGAAUUUGACAUCAAAAACCACUUCUAAUCCAGAGUUUAUGGUGGAGAGAGGGACCCUACAGGCAGCUCAUGGUUCCUACUCUGCUGGUUCUCUAGCAGCACCCGCGUGUCCUCCAGGUCCCAAGUGAGGUGGUGACACUUCCUCUUCAGCUGGUGAGCCAUCUUCUUGGCCUCUUCAUACGCACUCUGCAGCUCCCCAAGCUAUGGAGAGAAGAGAGUGAGAGGUUCGCUGGUGCCCCCUGUUUCCAAGGUCAGCAGCCAUGGAUGCUGGGAGAGAGAGGACCUCAGAGGAGUUCCUGUCAGUGUCAGGAAGCCGCUUCCCCGAGCCCCUCUUUGUUGGGAG
ensembl:antisense 1700095B10Rik RIKEN cDNA 1700095B10 gene